rnacentral:rRNA from 1 species
CCUCAAUGUUCGGUUGAAGCAAAAACAUUAUAAGGUUCCAGCAAAAAACGUUAUCGGUGCCAGCAAAAUCAAUCUCAGCAGGAGAACUUGGGUGGUUGAUUGUAGCCAAAAAAUUGCUAGUUCCAGCAAAAAUAAAUGCUGGUUCCAGCAAAAAUAACAACAGGGUGACUCCCAUUGAUUCGAUUGUAGCAAACAAAAGAAAAAGAUUGUAGCAAAAAGGAUUACUAGUUCCAGCAAAAAAGACACUUGUUCCAGCAAAACCAGAUCCAGCAAUCCAGAUCACCUAUUGCAGCUUGUCGCCGCCGUCUCGUCCAUCAGCUUGUACUGCACGGUUGCAGCUCGCCGUCGGGUGUGUCGCGGUAUGCAGCUCGACCAACGGGCGGUUGCAGCUCUGGGAACCGCCAUUUGUAGCUAGCCGUUUGGCGGCCGUCACUGGAUGCAGUUCGACCACGCCUCGGUUGCAGCUCCGCUAGCCAGGGGUUGCAGCUCCCCAUCCUGCCGGUUGUAUCAUGUAGUAGCACCAUCGCGGCUUGCAUCCUGCUGUGCAGCUAGUCGCCAUGCCGCCCCUCCGCCUCCCAAUAUCUUUGAUGUAGACCAGCUCCCCUCCGCCUCCCACUCUUGUAGCUCUGCCCGACCCCCUCGAAAACAAGCUCGUGGACGCCUCGUAUGGAUCUAGAGCACAACAGCUCAGGCAAAGUCGGGAGGUGGAUGAACUUAUCCG